rnacentral:rRNA from 1 species
AGUCGAACGAGCGAGAGAGAGCUUGCUUUCUCGAGCGAGUGGCGAACGGGUGAGUAACGCGUGAGGAACCUGCCUCAAAGAGGGGGACAACAGUUGGAAACGACUGCUAAUACCGCAUAAGCCCACGGCUCGGCAUCGAGCAGAGGGAAAAGGAGCAAUCCGCUUUGAGAUGGCCUCGCGUCCGAUUAGCUAGUUGGUGAGGUAAUGGCCCACCAAGGCAACGAUCGGUAGCCGGACUGAGAGGUUGAACGGCCACAUUGGGACUGAGACACGGCCCAGACUCCUACGGGAGGCAGCAGUGGGGAAUAUUGCACAAUGGGGGAAACCCUGAUGCAGCGACGCCGCGUGGAGGAAGAAGGUCUUCGGAUUGUAAACUCCUGUUGUUGGGGAAGAUAAUGACGGUACCCAACAAGGAAGUGACGGCUAACUACGUGCCAGCAGCCGCGGUAAAACGUAGGUCACAAGCGUUGUCCGGAAUUACUGGGUGUAAAGGGAGCGCAGGCGGGAAGACAAGUUGGAAGUGAAAUCUAUGGGCUCAACCCAUAAACUGCUUUCAAAACUGUUUUUCUUGAGUAGUGCAGAGGUAGGCGGAGUUCCCGGUGUAGCGGUGGAAUGCGUAGAUAUCGGGAGGAACAC